rnacentral:rRNA from 1 species
ACGCUGGCGGCGUGCCUAAUACAUGCAAGUAGAACGCUGAAGAGAGGAGCUUGCUCUUCUUGGAUGAGUUGCGAACGGGUGAGUAACGCGUAGGUAACCUGCCUGGUAGCGGGGGAUAACUAUUGGAAACGAUAGCUAAUACCGCAUGAAAUGGAUUAUCGCAUGAUAAUUCAUUGAAAGGUGCAAAUGCAUCACUACCAGAUGGACCUGCGUUGUAUUAGCUAGUUGGUGGGGUAACGGCUCACCAAGGCGACGAUACAUAGCCGACCUGAGAGGGUGAUCGGCCACACUGGGACUGAGACACGGCCCAGACUCCUACGGGAGGCAGCAGUAGGGAAUCUUCGGCAAUGGACGGAAGUCUGACCGAGCAACGCCGCGUGAGUGAAAAAGGUUUUCGGAUCGUAAAGCUCUGUUGUAAGAGAAGAACGAGUGUGAGAGUGGAAAGUUCACACUGUGACGGUAUCUUACCAGAAAGGGACGGCUAACUACGUGCCAGCAGCCGCGGUAAUACGUAGGUCCCGAGCGUUGUCCGGAUUUAUUGGGCGUAAAGCGAGCGCAGGCGGUUAGAUAAGUCUGAAGUUAAAGGCUGUGGCUUAACCAUAAUACGCUUUGGAAACUGUUUAACUUGAGUGCAAGAGGGGAGAGUGGAAUUCCAUGUGUAGCGGUGAAAUGCGUAGAUAUAUGGAGGAACACCGGUGGCGAAAGCGGCUCUCUGGCUUGUAACUGACGCUGAGGCUCGAAAGCGUGGGGAGCAAACAGGAUUAGAUACCCUGGUAGUCCACGCCGUAAACGAUGAGUGCUAGGUGUUAGACCCUUUCCGGGGUUUAGUGCCGCAGCUAACGCAUUAAGCACUCCGCCUGGGGAGUACGACCGCAAGGUUGAAACUCAAAGGAAUUGACGGGGGCCCGCAC